rnacentral:rRNA from 1 species
AGAGUUUGAUCCUGGCUCAGGACGAACGCUGGCGGCACGCUUAACACAUGCAAGUCGAACGAGAGAAGAGGAGCUUGCUUUUCUGAUCUAGUGGCGGACGGGUGAGUAACACGUGAGCAAUCUGCCUUUCAGAGGGGGAUACCGAUUGGAAACGAUCGUUAAUACCGCAUAACAUAAUUGAACCGCAUGAUUUGAUUAUCAAAGAUUUAUCGCUGAAAGAUGAGCUCGCGUCUGAUUAGCUAGUUGGUAAGGUAACGGCUUACCAAGGCGACGAUCAGUAGCCGGACUGAGAGGUUGAUCGGCCACAUUGGGACUGAGACACGGCCCAGACUCCUACGGGAGGCAGCAGUGGGGAAUAUGCACAAUGGAGGAAACUCUGAUGCAGCGAUGCCGCGUGAGGGAAGAAGGUUUUAGGAUUGUAAACCUCUGUCUUCAGGGACGAAAAAAGACGGUACCUGAGGAGGAAGCUCCGGCUAACUACGUGCCAGCAGCCGCGGUAAUACGUAGGGAGCGAGCGUUGUCCGGAAUUACUGGGUGUAAAGGGAGCGUAGGCGGGAUCGCAAGUCAGAUGUGAAAACUAUGGGCUUAACCCAUAAACUGCAUUUGAAACUGUGGUUCUUGAGUGAAGUAGAGGUAAGCGGGAUUCCUAGUGUAGCGGUGAAAUGCGUAGAUAUUAGGAGGAACAUCAGUGGCGAAGGCGGCUUACUGGGCUUUAACUGACGCUGAGGCUCGAAAGCGUGGGGAGCAAACAGGAUUAGAUACCCUGGUAGUCCACGCCGUAAACGAUGAUUACUAGGUGUGGGGGGACUGACCCCUUCCGUGCCGCAGCAAACGCAAUAAGUAAUCCACCUGGGGAGUACGACCGCAAGGUUGAAACUCAAAGGAAUUGACGGGGGCCCGCACAAGCAGUGGAGUAUGUGGAUUAAUUCGAAGCAACGCGAAGAACCUUACCAGGUCUUGACAUCGUAUGCAUAGCUCAGAGAUGAGUGAAAUCUCUUCGGAGACAUAUAGACAGGUGGCGCAUGGUUGUCGUCAGCUCGUGUCGUGAGAUGUUGGGUUAAGUCCCGCAACGAGCGCAACCCUUACUGUUAGUUGCUACGCAAGAGCACUCUAGCAGGACUGCCGUUGACAAAACGGAGGAAGGUGGGGAUGACGUCAAAUCAUCAUGCCCCUUAUGACCUGGGCCUCACACGUACUACAAUGGCUGUCAACAGAGGGAAGCAAAGCCGCGAGGUGGAGCGAACCCCUAAAAGCAGUCUUAGUUCGGAUUGUAGGCUGCAACCCGCCUACAUGAAGUCGGAAUUGCUAGUAAUCGCAGAUCAGCAUGCUGCGGUGAAUACGUUCCCGGGCCUUGUACACACCGCCCGUCACGCCAUGGGAGUCGGUAACACCCGAAGCCUGUAGUCUAACCGCAAGGAGGACGCAGUCGAAGGUGGGAUUGAUGACUGGGGUGAGGUCGUAACAAGGUA